rnacentral:rRNA from 1 species
GUGCCAGCAGCCGCGGUAAUACGUAGGGUGCAAGCGUUAAUCGGAAUUACUGGGCGUAAAGCGCGCGUAGGCGGUUAUUUAAGUCUGAUGUGAAAUCCCCGGGCUCAACCUGGGAACUGCAUUGGAUACUGCAGGACUAGAGUACGGUAGAGGGGGGUGGAAUUUCGCGUGUAGCGGUGAAAUGCGUAGAUAUUCGGAGGAACACCAGUGGCGAAGGCGACCACCUGGACUGAGACUGACGCUCAGGCGCGAAAGCGUGGGGAGCAAACAGGAUUAGAAACC